rnacentral:lncRNA from 1 species
AAGAAGAAGAAAUAAGAAAGAAAAGAAGAAUCUAUGAGGUUAGAUGUGGUGCAGAAAUGGGUUGUUGUAAAUCAAAUAUAACAUUUAAUUAAUUUCAUCAACCCAAAAAGUAACUAGAACAAUUAGAACAUCAUCAAAUAAUUAAAAGAAAGAUGAAGGUUUUAAAAGGUAACCCAAUUUAGAAGAUAUAAUGUUCUGACUUAUAUACAUAUAAGUUUUCCAACUUAUUUCUUGAUAUUCUCUGCAAGGUUUAAAAUUUAUCAUACAGGAGUGGAAUUGUCCCAUUGUUGUUAUUGAAACGUCCUAAGAUUGAUUACCAAAUAGAUUACCUGAUACUUAAUUUAUUUGUAAGAAAAGUUUUGGUGUUAUAUUAUUCUUGAAUAAAACAAAUAUAUGUUUUUUUGUUCACACAGAGGGAACUAUUUAUUGAAUUCUGCAUCCCUUUUUAGUAUAACUCCAAAAAAUAUGAUUCCAUC